AGGCGAGUAGCUCAACUGGCAGAGCAACGGUCUCCAAAACCGUAGGUUGCGGGUUCAAGUCCUGCCUCGCCUGCUA
rnacentral:tRNA from 1 species